rnacentral:lncRNA from 1 species
CAUUUCAAGGUAAGAUAUUUCUAUAAACUUGAAUGUGGACUAGUAUGUGUAUGAUAUAACUUCCAACUUCCCUUACAAGUUGUAAAACCUUUUACUUGAAUUUUUGCAAACCCUAGUUUUGAAAAUGUUGGAUAUGUGAGGAAAAUCAUGUCUAGAGGUGAGAAUUUGAAAUGUUGUGUAAAACAUGUUUGAAAUGUUGGAUAUGGGUAAGG